rnacentral:lncRNA from 1 species
UUAAAACGCAGUAAGUCUAUAUGCAUUCCAUACAUACUUACUACAAUUUUCUUUUCAUUGAUAGACGAAGAUAUGAGUUUUUUUUUAAAGUAGUGACGAAUUAUUUAUGUCUCCUGAUUUUUAGGACACGUGUCUUCUGAUUUUAUUCAAAUUGGACCUGGCAACACUGAAAUAAUGUCAGAAUCUUUUCUUUGACAUUAUUUACAAUUUAUAUUAUUGUACAUAAUUGGUUUUUUCACUAUUCUUAAGCUAAAAAAAACACCUGUUUGUCCUCCAAAGAAUACCUUAUUGGAUUCACAGAAUGAUUGAGGAUUUGAGGGAAGCAUGUUAAGACUGUGACAAUAUGGUCUUAAGGCAGCCGGCCUCAUUGAGAACAAGAAAAUAUUCUGCUUCAUGUAGCGGUUGUUAUUUGUUAAUAUGACAUGUCUCGGCAGUGUAGUGACCCUGUGCUUAAUUAAGGCUUCAGGCUCAAAUCAUGGUAAACCAAAAUGUAAGCGGCCGGUUGAAAAAGUAGCAGAGUCGAAAAUGGAAAUUAAUGAGCUGCAGAAGUAAAUUUUAGAAGAAUAAUUCUCUUCUUUGUUGUAUCCUUGUGGCUGAGGGACAUGACGAAUGAGGCCAUUCUUUACCAGUGCUCUUCACGCCACUCAAUCCUGGGCCCGGUGCAUGCUAGCCUGCAGUGGUCUUUGUCAGAGAUGUUAUUGUGUCUGCCCAAUGUGUGCCCAUGCUGCCACUUCUUCACUUCCUUGCCGUGUCCUGUGAUUAUGGGAAUAAUAUGCAAAUAAAAACCAACAAUGGGCCAUCGAAGAACAGGAGAGGGCAUGUGGGCCUUAGAGAAAGAGUUGUUAAUGUGAAGACUAAAUAAAUUCAACAAAUAAAAUCUCAACUAUAAUACUGUCUUUGGUACACCCGCUACCAUCGCGUCAAAUAGUGAAAGUGCAGUUCAGUGUAAGCAAAGACAGUGUACAAGAUAUACCACUCACCUAUGGCAUUAGUGUUACUAGACCACAUUAAUACAUAAAGACUAUUUUUCUAAACUUGUCCAAAAAUUUUAUUAAAAAGGUGUCGGAACGCCUUCUCGGGGACCAAAUAGCGGGUUCCUUCUUUGCUCAGAGGUUGAGUCUGGCGGUGCAAAGGGGAAACGCCGCAAGCAUUCUUGGGUCUAUGCCGGAGGCAGGGGAUCUGAGGGGGUUUUUUAUAUUUAGUUAUAACCUGCUUGUGUUAGUUUUAGUCUUUAGGGUUUUAAGAUUUAAUUAUAAGAUUAAAUAUAUUGUUCGUAGUUGUUGUUGAAUAAGCAGUGUUUGUGUGUCUGACUAACGAAAAUAUAAAUUCAGAUUCUAAACGUCUAAACUUGUGUAUAGCUCUGUGUUGUCUUAAUAAAUCCUAUUGGAAACGC